rnacentral:rRNA from 1 species
AUUGAACGCUGGCGGCAGGCCUAACACAUGCAAGUCGGGCGAGUGGCGGACGGGUGAGUAAUGUAUGGGGAACUGCCUGAUGGAGGGGGAUAACUACUGGAAACGGUAGCUAAUACCGCAUACCAUCAGAUGAACCCAUAUGGGAUUAGCUAGUUGGUGGGGUAACGGCUUACCUAGGCGACGAUCCCUAGCUGGUCUGAGAGGAUGCUAAGCCACACUGGGACUGAGACACGGCCCAGACUCCUACGGGAGGCAGCAGGUGGGAAUAUUGCACAAUGGGCGCAAGCCUGAUGCAGCCAUGCCGCGUGUAUGAAGAAGGCCUUCGGGUUGUAAAGUACUUUCAGCGGGGAGGCGUUACCGACAGAAGAAGCACCGGCUAACUCCGUGCCAGCAGCCGCGGUAAUUC